UACGAAGGGUGCAAGCGUUACUCGGAAUCACUGGGCGUAAAGGGCGCGUAGGCGGUCACGCACGUCCGUUGUGAAAUCGCUCGGCUCAACUGGGCGGGGUCAGCGGAUACGGCGUGGCUGGAGCAAGCUAGGGGGCAAUGGAAUUCCCGGUGUAGUGGUGGAAUGCGUAGAUAUCGGGAGGAACACCAGUGGCGAAGGCGGUUGCCUGGAGCUUUGCUGACGCUGAUGCGCGAAAGCUAGGGGAGCAAACGGG
rnacentral:rRNA from 1 species